rnacentral:rRNA from 1 species
AUUGAACGCUGGCGGCAUGCCUUACACGUGCAAGUCGAACGGCAGCGCGGGAGCAAUCCUGGCGGCGAGUGGCGAACGGGUGAGUAAUAUAUCGGAACGUGCCCAGUAGUGGGGGAUAGCCCGGCGAAAGCCGGAUUAAUACCGCAUACGACCUACGGGUGAAAGGAGGGGAUCGCAAGACCUCUCGCUAUUGGAGCGGCCGAUAUCAGAUUAGGUAGUUGGUGGGGUAAAGGCCUACCAAGCCUGCGAUCUGUAGUUGGUCUGAGAGGACGACCAGCCACACUGGGACUGAGACACGGCCCAGACUCCUACGGGUGGCAGCAGUGGGGAAUUUUGGACAAUGGGCGCAAGCCUGAUCCAGCAAUGCCGCGUGCAGGAAGAAGGCCUUCGGGUUGUAAACUGCUUUUGUCAGGGAAGAAAUCCUCUAGGCUAAUACCUUGGGGGGAUGACGGUACCUGAAGAAUAAGCACCGGCUAACUACGUGACAGCAGCCGCCGUAAGAC